UCUUUUUUUUUUUUUUUUUUUUGGUUCUUUUUGGAAGUUUAACAUACAUCAUCCCAUUAUCAUUAUGUUCCCAUUCCUAUAUGCUUUUCAAGCAAACCAACGUACAAAAACUGCAAUGCAUAGUCUAAAUGGACCACCAAUGAGCUGUAAUAUAACAAGGAAAGGAGGAAAUAUUGAUUGAGCUUUGAGCACAACGAUUCAGACGAGGACCCAGUCGGGCAACCGCGAAUGGUCUUUGAGAUCAAUUACGAUGACGAUAACGAAAUGGGAUAAUGCAUGCAUGGACUCUGGCGGUCUGGCCUGUCCCACUUAUCCACACCCUUGUUUCUGCAUACAUGAUUGACGAUGGCUUCUCAACGAUACGCUACUUACUGCUAUCUGAUAUCUGCAUCAAAUGAUACUCAAAUUUUAUUUCAUUUCCACAGCAAAUGAUGACAAAAUUUUCCCUUUUUAAGUACAAGUUGCAUUUCGACUUACUUGAGAAUGACAGAUUUGAUGUCUCAGAGAAAAUUAUUGUAGAAAUAAGAAUUGUGUGUGAAAUAAUGUCGGUGCACAAAAAAAUCAAUUUGUUUUUGAAAUUUUUUUCAACAGCUUAAGAAUUUUUAAAUUUAAGAUUUUGGAUUAAAUAUUUUAUUUUAACCGCAAAUGGACCGUUGGUCAACGGUCAUGAUUUGAAGGUGCAGAAAAAAAUAAAUUUUUUUUAAUUCUAUUGUCGCGCACAAAAUUUGCGGCGAACAAAAAAUUUUUUUUUCUUCUUAAAAGCCGCAUGCUAAAUUUGACGCGAAAUUUGUAGACUGUUGAUCCAUUUGAUCAACGGCUGGAAAAUUGCCGCAGAUUCAUCUGAUUUUUUUAUUUUUUGAAACCGAACGUCUGAUGUAUGGCAAGGAAAUACGUACACAAGGCCACUUGGGAUCCUCGGUGACAUGUUUUCUAUGUCAAUCCAAUGUCACCUAAAAUAUUGUGCCAAGUGUCCUGUUAUUAUUUACACUUAUGUUAAACCAAACCAAGCUGAAGUAUUAGAAAAUUAAAGUAUAAAUAAUAACGGGACACUUUGCGCAAUACUAUAGGUGGCAUUGGAUUGGCAUAGAAAAACAUGUCACCGAGGAUUCCAAGUGAACAAGGCAAGGCUUUCAGGGCAAUGCGGUGUAAGAAAAAUCAACAAAUUCAUGAUUCUGAGAAAAAACCAAACCGUCAAGGUAUAGGAAAGCAACGGCAAGCAAAAUUGUGUGCUGCGAAGGUCAUAGCCCAAGGUAAUUGGUGGAAUUGUGGGGGAAAUGACAUAUGCAAUGUUGGGACUAUUUACUUCUAAUUAUUAACAGAAUGAGUUGGGGUUGAGCCCUUUUCCUCAUUUCUUUUUUGUCAAAGAAAAUGGUCAGCCAUUCCUCAACGAUGGAUGAAUAAAGGAGGAAAAUGUCAGCAUCAUACGGAUAAAUAAAAAGCCUCUGAUUAUUGCAUAUUAAAACAACGCAAUUAAGGAGGAGCCCAGAAUAUAGCGCUGUAACAUUUCCACCAUUAAUUGGCAUCUGCUAAUUAAUUAAUUGAUUUGAGGCAUUGCUGAAUACGUUAAUACUCUAUCUCGGAAGAGAGGAGCGCUUGGAAACUUUUUAAAGUUAAUUACAUCUGAUAAUUAAGCAUGUGGCCACAUUAGACGGGCGUGGUAGGCAGUACAAGUCUCUUUUAUCAUUUGCGGCGACUCUUAAAUUAGAAAUCAAUCCCAACCAACGUCACUUUUGUGAUAUUUUCGAGUUUUCACAAUACACUGAGAAAUUCGCCAAUUAACAGCAUGUCAUAUUUUAUAUAUAAAUAUAUAUAUAUAUAAGUAUGAUAGUAUAUAGGAACCUCGUGAAUUUGUAAAUACUUUUUUUUUCCUUUUUUAUUAAAUUAUAGUAAGAGAUAGUAUAAAUUUCGAUUAUAAAAAUUAGACUUGACCUAAUUACUCCAUCAUUUUUUUUUUUGUAUUAAAGAAGAAGAAGAAGAAGAAGAAGAAGAAGAAGAAGAAGAAGAAGAAGAAGAAGAAGAAGAAGAAGAAGAAGAAGGAGAGAGACCCAUCCCGAGUGCUGCUAUAUAGCAUCAAUCAUGAACGACUUUAAGUGGCGGUGGAGGCCGGAGGAGCCAUAAUUGAUGCAUCAAAGUAUGGCAGGUACGCGCAUUGAAGCUCUCAUAAUGAACCAAACCAACCUCUCUUCUAAGGCUGAAACCCAAAUCCGAAGAAACGUAGGUUUCCAGAAAACUAUUAAUGCGAAGGAAAAAACGUUUUUGACAACUUGAACGGAGAAAAACAGCAAUAUCAUAUCUUGGAAGAGCAUUGCAAUUUUAAUUAGAUUCGUAUAGAAAAGCAUUAUUGAUCCAGAAAAUAGAAUAUAAAUAAGGCAUACAAGUACACAUGCAUGCGUUCCGGUUUAAUCUAUCAGAAGGGCCCUCCCAAAAAAAAAACAAAAUACUGGUCUGGGCAGCAUCAAUUUAUAGUAAAUACACCAUCCAAGUCUUACAAUCAAAACAGAACACAAUACAACAUUAACCAUGGCCACCACCACUGCAUUAAGGUUCGGUGGGGUGGCUAAUUUGCCACAAUUAAAUGUGGUAUUGUUUAAAAAAUUCAGACGGGUGUGUAGUACAGCCGUCUGGUCCGGUGACGGUUCAGUCCCUUCGGAAUUAUCCCAAAAUCUCUUCGGGCCCUUCUUUCUCCCUAGUAUAGGAAAACUCACUAUUUGACGUAUGCACCAGUGGUGUUGACAUCUUUAACGAGAGUCAAAAGCACUGGCACAAGCACACGCUUUGAAGUAUCUUGCUUGUAGACAUAUCCUUUGCAAUUGCGAUCAUUGGUGCACUUGUCUCUGCAUGCUCCAAAUUCCAUCACAACUUCUUGACUAUCCGGAGACCACUGGUAAUUCAAGGAGGAUUGCACCCCAUCGAGCUUGUAAUAUGUUGCCUUAGGUUUCUUCCCACACGAGCUCAACUUUGGUGGUUGACAGUUUUCUGUCCAUGCCAAGAGCCCCUUUGGUGUAGGACAUGCCACACACAUCCCAUUUUGGCACAAGCCAAAAUUACCACAUUUUGAUGGCAAAGCACAUUUUUCUGUUUCAAAAUUAUACUCCGAAAGAAAGUGUAGGUCUCCAGCCAUCUAUCAAAUCUGACAUUGUCAUAGUAGGUAUAACUGUAUAAGCCUUCACAUUGCCAUCAGAUUCAAUCCUCAGAAAAGAGUAUGUUGCAUUGUAAUUUAUUGUACUGAGCUCUUGAGCUGCAUGGGUUUUGACAAAAGUCCAUUCCUAUUAAGUGGCAUGUCAUAUCCCUGGUCAUUGUGACUGUGGAAUCCUAAUUCCUAACCAAAGAACUGCUUAAUAAUUCUAACAAUGUCUGACAGCCCCAACAAAGCUAUGUACCUGGUCCAUCUUCAAAUGGGCUUAGCAGGUUGUAGAUAAAUGGAUCCGCUGCCUCACAAGUUUCAUUUAAAUUCAUUUCACAGGUUUUUUUUUUUUUUUUUGAUAAGUGGGAGGUCUCUGGAUUUCUCAUUUAUAUUUUUUCCCUCCUACCAUCUGCCCAUCUCUUUCCCCUUCCAUGUUAGAGUAAAAUGGUCUUUUCAACUUGAGGUAUCAAACUUUGGUUUGAGGAAAGGAAAAUGAAUGGUUUAUAAACUUGGACUCAUUGGCUAUUCAAUAAAUUGGAUAAACCAUUCUAGAUCAGUGGAUUUGGAUUUCGACUAAAAGUUAGUUGAGACAGUUCUUGAACUCAGGUUGUGACACAACUUUUGUUACGCCAUAUUUUAAUUUAAUCACAUCAUAUAUGCAACUUAAUGCAGGUUUGCAAAAAAUUAUUAUAGGCAAAAACUUUUUUUAUCAACUUUAAUUGAGAAAAAUAAGAAUAUCAUGUGUAGGAAGAGCUACAAUGCUCGAUUGGUAUAGAAAAACAUUAUUGAUCUAGAAAAUAUUAGAUAAGACAUAUAAGUAGACAUGCGUGCAUUCCGGUUUAAUCUAUCAAAAGGGCCUCAUAGAAUAAGAAAAGAAAAGCAAAACACGAAUCUGGGCUGCUUGGAUUUAUUGCAAAUACGAUACAAGUCUUGCGAUCAAACCAGAAGAACCAUAAUUAAUACAAUAUUGCAGAAGCUCAACAAGAAGCUUCUUUAUUCGGCACAUAAAACUCUCAAAGCAUACUUAAUGCUAUGCUAACAAUUAUCCAAACCAAGUUUUAACUUUUAAUAGUUUUUUUUCCUUAAGUUAAGGCUUUCCAUAAAAUCAAUAUUUGACAUAGGCACUAGUGGUGUUGACGUCUUUGACGAGAGUCAAAAGCACCGGCAUAAGCAAGCACUUUGAACUAUCUUGCUUGUAGACAAAUCCUUUGCAAUUGCAAUCAUUGGUGCACUUGUCUCUGCAUGCUCCAAAUUCCAUUUCGACUUCUUGACUAUCAGAAGACCACUGGUGGUUCAAGAAGGAUUGCACCCCAUCAAGCUUGAAAUAUUUUGCCUUAGGUUUCUUCCCACACGAGCCCAACUUUGGUGGUUGACAAUUUUCUGUCCAUGCCAAGAGCCCUUUUGGUGUAGGACAUGCCACACACAUCCCAUUUUGGCACAAUCCAAAAUUACCACAUUUUGUUGGCAAAGCACAUUCUGUUGCCAAAUUACUUGGAAAGAAAGUAUAGGUCUGCAUCCAUCUAUCAAAUCUGACUUUGUCAUUGUAAGUAUAAGCCUUGACAUUGCCAUCAGUUUCAAGCCUCAGAAAAGAGUAUGUUGCGUUGUAAUUUAUUUUACUGAGUUGUUGAAUCCCAUCAACCUGUGGUUUUGGCGCUGGCGAUUCGAAUAUUUCAAAGAUAAGGUUCCAAGCUGUUGGAGUAGGCUCCCACGUCGAAGGUUGGGUGUUAAACCUUACAGUACUUCCAAAAUUCCCCGGCCAACCAUUGUAGCGAACUUGUUGGCCAGCGUUGUUUAGAUACAAGAGGAGGCCAUCAUCUCCAAGCACUAAGCUGUACUUUCGAUCGGAGCCAUCAACAUCAGAAGUUCGACUGACAAGCUUGUUUACGCCACUCCCGCGAAGGGACUGCCCAACUAGUAACGAAUCAACUGGAUAAUCAAAGCUUUGCCAAAUGAACUUUCCCUUUGUAUCAUACAGCACAAGGUUGCCAUUCUGGAGUAAUUUGAUGCCCGUGACACCCUUGUUAGCCGUGUUGGUUUGCCACACAAGGCCGCCGUCAGAGUCGGCUAGGACCAAGUUUCCAUCCCGGCCGAAAGAAAGGGUGGCGUUUUCUUUCACGGGGUGGUUGCGGUUGGCGUCCCAAACCCAUCGCAUUAGGCCCUCGUCAUCUGGGAUGCCAACACGAAUGCCAAGCACGAAAGAAGUUGGGGUGGUGUUGUAGAAACACAGUCUGAAGGGGAAUGUGUAGAAAUCAUAGACAUCAUUGGUUAUGAUGCGAUAAGUUGCCCCAUACUCAGCUGUGGGUACGAAAUUUUGGAAUUCUCCCAGUGGACCUGUGUUGACAAUUUUGAAGGUAUUGUUUGUUGGCACUUGAGCUCUGGUGCUAAUGGCCAAGAAACAGAGGAGGAGGAGAAUGCUAAGACAGGGUGAAAAUGGAAAGGUACGACGAGCCAUUGGAAUUCUUUUUGUGCAAUAAGGAAUAAAGGGCAAGCUAAUCAGUUGGAAAUGGAAUGAGAGAUAUGAAGUGGGUUGUAACCAUUUGGUAUUUAUAGAUUUUUUUUAUUGGUUUUUCUGCAUACAAUUGUUGAAAUUUGAAAACUGAUCAAAAAAAUAUUGAAAAUUGAAAUUUGAAUUUCAACGUCAAAGUUGGUAACCUGCAAACAAGAUUGAGCAUCCAUCUAGUAACAUAGUAUUACAUAAUUUUGUUCUAUGUCGUUUUGGUUGUCAAAUGAUUAUAAUGUACAACACAAUUUUUUAUAAGGGAAAACGAAACAAAUAAUCCCUUACAUAUUACUUAUUUAAUCAUUCACAUACAUAAAAAUGCAAAUUCAUCCUUUAAAUAUAUAAGGGAUAAUUUUAGAAACCUCCCUGAGGUUUCUAAUAAUUUCACAAAGCUCCCCUUAAUAUUUCAAAAUUACACAUACCUCCCCUAUUGCUGUAAAAGUACUCUACUACCCCUAUAUAGGAUACUUAAUGACUUUUUCUUUUUGGAAAUUUCAGAAAUUUCAAGAAAAACUAAAAUUGACUUGUUUUUUCUCUCUCUCUCUCUCUCUACCUUACUCUUUCUUCCAUUUCCUUUUUUGCUAAAUUCCUACCACUCAUUCCUCUCUACCUAAUAUUCUUCCUCCAAUUCACGACCAAAUUCUAUCUAUUAUCCCUUACCCGUAUUUAUCCCCCUCCUUCCCUUUUUCUUCUUCUUCUUUUAUCUCUAUUCUCAUCUCUUUUUUGCAAAUAUGAUCAAGUUCAUCCUUUUUAUCCUUUUAAUUCUAAGUGUAAUGGGUUUGAUUUUUCUGCGUCUAUUUAUUUUAUCCAAUGUUAGUUGAUUAUGGGUGAUAAAACUUAGUGAUGUCAAAAGUCAAGAAUUUGAGGGAUGGAUGUGCUUUAGAAAUGGGUUGUCGAAAAAAAAAAGAAGGCUGCAAAAAGAGAAAGACGAGAGAUCUGUGCUAUUGAUUGUUGAUGAAGUGUUAGUUUUGGGUAAAAGUUUGAGACUGAGUUUUAUCCAAUUUAGCACCAAGUGACGGAUUUAAUUAACUUGUGUAGUAAAUGUAGCCAUGUAGGGGUUGGGUUAUUGGACAUAAAUUAGGCUAUAGUGUUUUAAGUGCUAGAAUUAUUGAAAUUUAUUUUGAUUUAAAUUGGGGUGUUUGCUUGGCUUUUGGGGUGGAGUUGUUUGGAAUAAGGCAAUCAUCAUAGUUGAAUUUUUCUCCAAACUUUUAUUUUUGGUAGAAAGAGUUUGUUGGCUCUGGUGUUAGAAGAAAAGCAAUCAACAGAGCUCUUUUAUUUUUCCUUUUUAUCUUUUUGACAAAAAGGGUAGUUUAGGAUAUUUGAAGGAAUUGGUAGCCUAUUGGACAUAUUUUGAAGCAUAAAUAGUGAAAGCAAGGUAGGUGUGUGUAAUUUUUGAAACCUAAGGGGAGCUUCUUGUAAUUGUUAGAGACCUCAAGGGAGGUUUAUGAAAUUAUCCCAAUAUAUAAAUUGCAUCAUGUUUGUCUGAAAAUUCAUUUUAGGAAAUUCUUUUUUUACCUGAAAACGCCAUGUGGCUACCAAAUGAAAUAUUUCAAAGAUAAAAAAGACAUUACAUACUCAUGAUUUAUCCAUUUUUUUUUGCCUUUUUUCCUCCUCUGUUUUUGCUUCACCAACAUUCAAACAGCAAAUCCUAGAUCCACCACCAUAGUCCGCAAUUUCCAGAUAACAAACACUAUCAAAUAUUGUUUAAUAUCCAGAAAUUGUAAAUUACGGAGAUUUUGCUACAAAAGCCUCAUUGCUGCCGCUAUAACAAGACAAACGCCGCUAUAGUUUGAUAAGCAUACAGAAUAGAGGAUUUGUAUGCUAAUUAAUUUUCUUUUUGUUUUCUGAAAAAGGAAUAAUAUUAAUCAUUCGAUCAUGCAAUUCUAAUAGUGCUUAAAUAAUUAGAUUAGAUUGUGGUGCGAUUGGUAUAUGUCAGGAAUGAAUUUGCAUCAUUUUGAUAAUGAGCGAUUAAAUAACUACAAAUGCGACUACUUGUAUUUUUUUUUUUUACAAUAUCGCAACACAUCAUCUGUCCCGCUUUUUAUUUCACUCCAUAUCUCAGCUUUUAUUAUAGUGUCAUUUUUCUUUCACAAACAUCUUAUUCUACUUCUUUUUUAUUUCCUUAAGUUCCAAUAACUACUAACAUAUUGUAAAACACAAAUUUAAUCAUACAAAAAAAAAACAAAAUAUCACUAAAAAAAUGAGAUUUUUAUGAUUUUUUUUGUUGUACUUUUUGUUUUUCUAUUAAGGAAAAUGAUCGGUUUCAUUCUUCACAUUUCACAAAAAUAUUCUUUUCAUCCCUCACUUAAAAACCGAAGCAAUAUCGCCCUUGACAUUUAAAAACUGAAGUUCUUACAUCCCUGAACCCAAAUUUCAAUGUGAAUCAAACUACCAAUCAACUUGAUUACAAAUUUUGGGGAUGUAAUUGGUAGAUCACUUGGUUAACUCACCUUGAUAUUCAUGUAAAAUUUAACGAACCCAAAAAUAAAAAAUAAAAAAUUAUAACAUAAAAAAGAAAUAUUAAUCUUUCCUACAUUAUCAUUAUAUACACUGACGGUGACGGUUUUAUGUACCGCCAUAUCAUUUCAAUUUAAAUUUAAACACCAAAUUUUAUAUUUAUGAUACGCAUCUAGAUUCGCAAGCGGAUAUACAAACGGUGUAUGAAAAGAUUUAUCCAAAAAAAAAACUCUACUAUUCCAAGACAAAGAAUGGCCUUUUAUGUUAUAAUUUUUAUUUUUUUUUUGGUUUAAUAAAUGUCAUGUGAAUAUGAUGAAAUUGACUGGGUGAUUUAUCAAUUCUAUUUCCAAAAUUUAUUACUAGGUUAUUGAAUGGUUUGAUUCAGAUUCAAAAUUAGGUUCAGGGAUGUAAUAGUUUUAAUUUUUAAAUGUCAGGGACGAAUUUGCUUCAUUUUAAAAGUAAAGGACGAAAAGAAUAUUUUUGCGAAAUGUGAAGGAUGAAAUAGGUCAUUUUUCCUUUCUAUUGUAUUAUACUUUUUAAUAUGUUGAAUUUUGUGUUUUACCCUUUAGUAGUCAUUGAAACUUUAGGAAAUAAAAUAAAAUAUUUGUAAAGGAGGAAUGACAAAAUAAUUAAAGAUGUGACAUACGAUAAAAGAGGUAGGAUACAGUGGGUCAUAAUAUGCAAAAAAUGGCAAGUAUUAAGCUACUAAAAAUAAAUGGUAGAAAGAAAGUCCACUUUUGGAAGUUUGAAGUCAAUAUAGCAGCUGAGUCAAAAAAAAAAAAGUCAAUAUAGCAGCCUGUAGAUGUGCUGCAAUCCCCUUAGAACCGGGCUCCGUGUCGUCUUCACCCUUCACUAAUUAGCAACUUGAGCACAUUGCAGACAAACCUUUCCUCUUUGCCUUUGGGGUUAGAAGAUGGGAAAACGCGUCUGCUUCUUCUAUACUUUUGGGCUGUAACGCAGCAGCAUUUAGCAACUGUAAUGAAGUUAAUAAAGUUUAACAGAAGGAUAACAUCAAGGUUUUAGACAAUUAUCCUAGAUCCAAACCUUCCAAUUGCCUGAACCAUAAAGGACUUUAACAUCUUUGGCUCCCGGUUUGAGUGCGCUAGGCUCAAAGAUUGGCGAAGAACGUUUGGCACGGUUAAAUUGAAAACCAGCAUUAAAUGGUGACAGUCCAUUUUGUAUCCUUCCAUUUUUUUUUGUUUGGAUCCAUUUUGGUUCUCUUUUGCAUGGGCGCAAUCUGUAGCAAUAGAUGCUGAUGCAGAUCAGCAGAUGGAUGCUUCCAGUUCCAUAUGGGAUGAAUUGUGAUCAAAGUAUUAAUCUAUCCUUAUGGCUUUGUUUCAUGUUUACCUGCUUGGCAAUGAGAAAAGCCAUGCACGGCUUUCUUUAUUUGUUGAGAGACUGAUCACAUCAAAACCAAGAGAUUCAUCACCUCAAACCGCGCAUGAUUUUUAAUUUAUCAAGUCAGUCAAGAAUUGUGUGGUAGCUUUGUGGGCUGGGAAAGUGGGAAUGCGCCAGAAUUUGCAGAUUGGUUGUGGUCCUGUGGAGUGGACCUGCGCGCAUUGCUAGCUUUGAGUGAUUGGAAAAGUCGGGCGAAUGGAUAAAUAUUGAAUACAUGCAUGCAUGAUAUAAAGUCAUUAGCAACCAAUGUCAAAUAGUCAUUGCAGAAGACUUGUGGGUUCCUCUUUGAUGUCUUGGACCAUUUCGAUAUGUGUUCUUUGAACAUAAUUGUGUGCUUAUCAUUAAUGGCAUGAUGGUAUAAUCUUUCUUUCCUGUCUCUUUUUGUUAUGCGCGCAAGAAUGAUCAACAUCGACAAGUUUGCUUGCGGUUGGUUGUUAGAUGCACGAUUUUGAUUUACUUAUUUGUUUUUGGUAAAUAAAAGUUUGAUUUUAAAGGAGAGGAACAUAGUUCAGGCUAAGGCUCUGUUUGGUAUGAUAUAAAGUAUUUUCCUUAAGAAAAUAUUUUCCAUGGAAGUUCUUUUCUGGGAAAAUAUUCACAUUUUUCAAUGUUUUCUGAUGUUUGGUUGAAAUUUUUAACUACAUUUUUAUUAUCAAAAUUCAACUCCUUCCGCCACUCGCUUUUCUCUUCCACUGCUGGAAACCGAUCUUCCUAAUUCCUACCACUAAAAAUAGCAGAACCGCUCAAAAUGGAAUAAUCCAAGUCAGGCAUAAGGACAAUUCGUUGACUCAUAACUAUUGGCGCCAUAAAAGACAUUACCAAGCUAGACAUAUCAAGACCAUGAAAUGGCUGGUGAUUAAGGUCAAUCAAUGAAAGUGAAAGAACAGGCAUAAAUAUCUUCUCAAGUUGAAGAAAUAGGCUCUGUUCUUUUUCAUAUGAUUAGUGCUCUUAUUGACUCGUAUAUGAAAUUUGGUUUAAAGAUCAUAUACUAGCGCUCAAACCACAACCUCAAAGGCAUUAAAAUCCAGGCAAAUUUGAGCUAAAGAUACAUAAUUUUGAUUAAGAAAACAGUGUAAAGAAAAUUAAAAUGACUGAAGAAAGACAGUGGGAAUUGAUAAUAAUCCAAAUUGUUAACAAAUUCGUAGUGUUUGCGUCACCAGUAAAUUCAUCAGCAUCAAAAGCACAAUGUCAAAGAGAUCAGAGUGAGUAGGGUGAGGCCUUUUUUUUUUUUUGAAUAUGCUACAAGCUUUGAAAGUUUGACAAAUACCUUUAAUAGGCGGCCACAUGCGUUUAUAAAAACAAUUUCGAUAAGUCCGGAAGGGAAGUUAUUUUUCACAAGAUGAACAAAAAUCUUUUACACAGUAAAAUAUUUUCAUUAACUUUUGUGCAACCAAAUAAGGGAAAUUAGGAAAAUAUUUUCCUGAAAAAGAUUUCACUUGAAACAAAUGGACCCGAAAUGAUACUCAUAUACAAUAUUUGUUUAAGACCUGUCUGAAUGAAUCAAUGGGUAUGAAAAGCCGAAUCUGAGGGUUUCAUCAUUAGCUAUUUUGCUAGUUAUUCAACUUGAUUAUCCCUUUGUCCUAAUUUUUUUUAUGAAACAAAAUCAAAACAGAAGCAAAAAAAAUUAGUAAAUAAAUUAAAGGGACACGUAUCUCUCUCACCACCUUCUGUUCCCCUUCCCUCUGUCCCCUCAAAAUCGCCUCAAAGCUAUGUACCUAGUUCGUAUCUAUAUCGCUUUAAAUGGAUUUGUGGCCACACAAGUUUCAUUUCAUUCCAUUUCAGAAUAAAAUAAUCUUUUUUAACUUUUGUUGUAGUACCAUAUUUUAAUGCAAUCGGAUCAUAUCUAAUCUUUAAUUAUAUUAUCUUUCCAGCUAAAGGAUAAACUUGCGAGAAAUAGAAUUUGUGAGAGGACUCGUCGUUUAAUUAAAUUUGGCAAGACCAACUUGUGCAGUGAUAUUUGGGAGGAUGAUCCAAGAAAGAGAAUAUAUUAUUAAAGAUAUUCCAAUGAAAGAUACGUUAGGAGAGGCAAGUGUUACCUUUACACAAAAUGAAGUCCCAGAUUUUAAAAAAUUGCUCAGCAAAAACGAACUAAAAUAUUCAUAAACAUGCAAAGAUAAUGUAAGUUUGCAGAAAAUUAUUAUAGGAAAAGAUGCUUUUUUGUCAGCUUUAAUUGAGGAAAAUAAGAAUAUCAUAAGUAGGAAGAGCUACAAUGCUCGAUUCUAUUAUACAAGCAUUGUUGAUCUAGAAAAUGUUGGAUAAGACAUAAAAGAAGGCAUGGGUGCAUUCCGGCUCAAUCUAUCAAAAGGGCCCUCACAGAACAAGGAAAGAAAAAGCAAAAUACCAAUCUGGGCAGCUUGGAUUUAUUGCAAACAGGAUACAAGUCUUACGAUCAAACCAGAAGAGCCAUAAUCAAUACAAUAUUGCAGAAGCUCAACACGAAGCUUCUUUAUUCGGUGCAUAAAACUCUCAAAUCAUACUUGAUGCUAUGCUCACAAUUACCCAAACCAAGUUUUAACUUUUAAUAGUUUUAUUUUUUUUUUCUCUCAAGUUAAAGGAUUUCCACAAAAUCAAUAUUUGACAU
rnacentral:lncRNA from 1 species